UACGAUUGGUUGUAGUUGUGCAUGUUUAAAACCGGAAAACCUAUCUAUGACCAAAAGUCAGUCUGGUGACGGAAUCAAUAUCCGGACACCCUUUUUGUCGUUUUUCUCCCAAAAUAACUCAAUCUGAAUAAUCAUAAGAAUGGAUGACAAAUGCGACUAUGCAUGUUACCUAUAGGACACAGAGGCAUGAUGAUUAAUUUAUUGUGGAAGGAAGAGAAGCGAC
rnacentral:lncRNA from 1 species